rnacentral:misc_RNA from 1 species
GCCAUCAGCUCUGCGACUGCCGACUGUCGUUUGUUUCGUCCGUUUUGCAGGCAUUCUGCUUUGCUUUCAACGGCCAGCUGCCGUUUGCUGUCAUAAAAACAAACCAUGUGCUGUUGGUUUGAACUAAAACCGGGCAAUAAAAUGGUUUUUUGCAGUGUAUAAGCGCGGCUAGGCGAUGCUCACGAUGAACGCAGAUACCGCCGACCCCUUAGUGUCCAUCAUCAUUCCCAUUCGCAAUGGAGAAAACUGGAUUGACACCUGCCUUCAAUCUGUUUUAAACCAGACAGCGUUGAGCUUCGUAAAAGUUGAGGUUUCCGUUUGUGACGAUGCCAGCACCGACCGAACCCCGGAAUUACUCUGUACGUGGAAGUUGAGACUGGAAGCACUGUCCAUUCCUGUCAAGAUAUUCAGGAAUCAAAACCAAGAGUCUGGAGGGGUUGGUUAUGCUAAAAACAGAGCGGUUGAAAAUUCUACUGGGGAAUUUCUGUGUUUCCAAGAUGUGGAUGACAUUAUGCUGCCGUGUAGGAUUCAGGCCCAGUACGCUGUUGCAAAAGAGAACGAAAAUGCAAUUGUUGGAGGGCGGUUUAGAAGAAAGCCGGAAAAUGCAACCGCCAGAUUUUCACGAUGGGCGAAUACAAUCGCGAGUGAAAAACUUGAGGAACAAAUCUACACUUCUCACGGACCCACGAUCGUUAUGCCAACGUGGUUUUGCCACAGAUCCGUGUUUCAAAGGGUCGGUGGCUUCUGCGAGGCUGGUCGCGGUUGUCCAGAGGAUUUGAUAUUCUUUUAUUCGCACCUGGACCUCGGUGGCAGAGUUCUGAGGGUAGAUGAUACGGUUUUAAUAUAUGUGUAUCAUCCUCAAGCAGAGACUUUCUCGAUUUGCGAAGAGGUAAUCAGGAUUCUUAUCAACAGGCAAACAAUAUGGGAUCUAAGAGUUGCGCGUUUGGAAAGACUCGUUCUUCCUCUGUGGGAUAAAUUGACGAUAUGGAACGGCGGCAAACAAGGCAGGCGAUUAUUACGCAGCCUGUGUCCUCAGUUUCGGGACAAAGUUGUGGCCUUUUGUGACGUGGACAAGCAUAAGAUCGGACAGAAUUACGUAUCGUAUGAACCAGUCCGAAAGAAAAUAGGACGACCAAUUCCGAUAAUUCACUUUACAAAAGCCAAGCCUCCGUUUAUCAUUUGCGUGAAAAUGGACAUGACGAACGGCGAGUUUGAACGGAAUUUAGAAUCCUUGAACCUGAAGGAAGGAAAAGAUUACGUCCUGUUUAGCUGACACCUCUGCAUUAGGCCCGAUGGCUUCAGAAACGAAAACGAAGAACAAUCAUGCGUCAGAACCCGACGAAUCUCCAAACUGCAAUACUUGGAGUUACCGCGGGAUUCGGGGAAAAAGGGCGCUGCAGACACCAGCAGCCGACAAUCUCCUUACCCUCGACCGGUUUUCCUCCUUUACUGUGGUAAAAAGUUUCACUGCGGUGAUUCUUCUGGUCGGUAAGCUAAGUCGAGGUUGUUGGAUUUCAACCAGCUAGGUUUAUUUUAUCCGGAUCUAAUAACCUGGGUCUGUAUAAUUCUAGGAAUCUCCAACGGUCGGUAUAUUUUCUAUAUAUAUAUAUAUAUAUUUUUUUAUUUACGACUUCUAAGCACUAAACGAAACAUUGAUGUGAAGAACAGGUUUUACCGUCGAAGUGGAAAAGGAAUUUGAAGAUGUAUUUUUCAAUAUUUAUAUGCGCGUUUAUUCAUCCGUCGCUGUCGUGUUAUGAAAACAGUAAAAAACAUAAU